rnacentral:rRNA from 1 species
CACUGUCACUCCUACGGGAGGCAGCAGUGGGGAAUAUUGCACAAGUGGGGGAAACCCUGAUGCAGCCAUGCCGCGUGUGUGAAGAAGGCCUUCGGGUUGUAAAGCACUUUCAGUAGGGAGGAAGGUAGUGUAGUUAACACCUGCACUAUUUGACGUUACCUACAGAAGAAGCACCGGCUAACUUCGUGCCAGCAGCCGCGGUAAUACGGAGGGUGCGAGCGUUAAUCGGAAUUACUGGGCGUAAAGCGCAUGCAGGCGGCCUGUUAAGUCAGAUGUGAAAGCCCCGGGGCUUAACCUCGGAAUUGCAUUUGAAACUGGCAGGCUAGAGUCUUGUAGAGGGGGUAGAAUUUCAGGUGUAGCGGUGAAAUGCGUAGAGAUCUGAAGGAAUACCAGUGGCGAAGGCGGCCCCCUGGACAAAGACUGACGCUCAGAUGCGAAAGCGUGGGGAGCAAACAGGAUUAGAUACCCUGGUAG